rnacentral:rRNA from 1 species
GACGAACGCUGGCGGCGUGCCUAAUACAUGCAAGUCGAACGCAGUGGGGACGGGUGAGUAACACGUGGGUAACCUCCCAUCAGAGGGGAUAACACUUGGAUACAGGUGCUAAACCGAUACUGAUGGAUGGACCCGCGGUGCAUUAGCUAGUGGGUGAGGUAACGGCUCACCAAGGCGACGAGGCCUAGCCGACCUGAGAGGGUGAUCGGCCACACUGGGACUGAGACACGGCCCAGACUCCUACGGGAGGCAGCAGUAGGGAAUAUUCGGCAAUGGGCGAAAGUCUGACCGAGCAACGCCGCGUGAGUGAAGAAGGUUUUCGGGUCGUAAAGCUCUGUUGUUGGAGAAGCGGUAUCUAACCAGGAAGCCUCGGCUAACUCCGUGCCAGCAGCCGCGGUAAUUC